AAGAACCUAGUUUAAUUUAAAACAUUAGUUUGUCAAACUAAAGUUACUUAAAAUUUUAAAGUGAUUUUUG
rnacentral:tRNA from 1 species